UCCGGAGGAUCCAAGCGUUAUCCGGAAUCAUUGGGUUUAAAGGGUGCGUAGGCGGGUAAUUAAGUCAGUGGUGUAUGCCGACAGCUCAACUGUCGAACCGCCAUUGAUACUGGUUAUCUUGAGUAUAGUUGAGGCAGGCGGAAUUUAAGAUGUAACGGUGCAAUGCAUAGAUAUCGUAAAGAACACCGAUAGCGAAGGCAGCUUGCUAAACUAUAACUGACGCUGAGGCACGAAAGCAUGGGGAGCGAACAAG
rnacentral:misc_RNA from 1 species